rnacentral:rRNA from 1 species
UUGAGCUUGCCUCUCUUUGUCGGCAAGCGGCAAACGGGUGAGUAAUAUCUGGGGAUCUGCCCAAAAGAGGGGGAUAACUACUAGAAAUGGUAGCUAAUACCGCAUAAAGUUGAAAAACCAAAGUGGGGGACCUUUUUAAGGCCUCAUGCUUUUGGAUGAACCCAGACGAGAUUAGCUUGUUGGUAAGGUAAAAGCUUACCAAGGCAACGAUCUCUAGCUGGUCUGAGAGGAUAACCAGCCACACUGGAACUGAGACACGGUCCAGACUCCUACGGGAGGCAGCAGUGGGGAAUAUUGCACAAUGGGCGAAAGCCUGAUGCAGCUAUGCCGCGUGUAUGAAGAAGGCCUUAGGGUUGUAAAGUACUUUCAGCGGGGAGGAAAGAAAUAAAACUAAUAAUUUUAUUUCGUGACGUUCCCCGCAGAAGAACA